rnacentral:lncRNA from 10 species
GGAAGAAUAAAACAGCAGGAGAAACUGCUUCAGGGGCCCUGUCAAAGUUAACCCGUGGAUUGAAAGAUGAAUCGCUGGCUUAUAUCUAUCAUUGCCAAAAUCAUUAUUUUUGUCCAAUUGGCUUCGAAGCAACCCCUGUUAAAGCUAAUAAAGCAUUCAGCAGGGGACCUCUCUCACCACAGGAAGUUGAAUAUUGGAUCUUAAUUGGAGAAUCAAGUAGAAAACAUCCUGCCAUUCACUGUAAAAAAUGGGCAGAUAUUGUUACUGAUCUAAACACUCAAAAUCCAGAAUACCUGGAUAUCCGGCACUUAGAGAGGGGACUGCAGUAUAGAAAAACAAAGAAGGUUGGGGGAAAUUUGCAUUGCAUCAUAGCAUUCCAGAGACUUAACUGGCAAAGAUUUGGCCUUUGGAACUUUCCAUUUGGAACCAUUAGACAAGAAUCACAACCUCCAACACAUGCCCAGGGAAUUGCCAAAUCUGAGAGUGAAGACAAUAUUUCCAAGAAGCAGCAUGGGCGUCUGGGCCGGUCUUUCAGUGCUAGUUUCCAUCAGGACUCGGCAUGGAAAAAGAUGUCUAGUAUCCAUGAGAGAAGGAACAGUGGUUACCAGGGUUACAGUGAUUACGAUGGGAAUGAUUGACUAUGCUUGCUACUGAACAGCUGGCAUUAUAUAUGAAACUGCUAUAUACAGGACUGUAUAAAGACAGUAGAAGAUUUUAGUAAGCCUACAUUAAAUAGGAGCAGAUCUUGUGGUAUAAAAAAUAACCUUGUAGUUCUCCAGAUACUAAGCUUGUAUAUGAUUAUGGUGGGUGAUUUCAGAUAUAUAAGCAGAUAAGCACAGAUUAUUGUCCUUUCAAGUUAAGAGUAUAUAAUCUGGACAGAAAAUUUCACAAAAUUCAAUAAAAUUACAACUGUUGUCUAAAUAAGUGAAACACAAAUUCACUUAAUAGCAUCAAGAUUUGAAAUACUUAAGCAUGAAGUGACUUUUAUAAUGACUCGAUCCCUAGACAUUUGUUACAGAUAGUUUUAUGCCUAAGACCAAGAUGUAAAGUACCAUCUGCCCUUAAAAAAAAUUGGGGCUGUCAAUUUCUAGUUUUCACUCAUGGUUAACACGCAUUUAAAAUUAUUUCAUGAGUCUAGUAGUUCUUUGAUUUAUAGCAGGAUCUUGCUUGCCUCAUUUGUUUCCUGGUUAUGUUCUUAGGAUUCUGACUAAGAGGCAAAAGAGAAAAGACUCAAGAAACUGAUCCUGGAGAUCGAGACCAUCCUGGCUAACAUGGUGAAACCCCGUCUCUACUAAACAUAC